rnacentral:rRNA from 1 species
GAGUUUGAUCCUGGCUCAGGACGAACGCUGGCGGCGCGCCUAACACAUGCAAGUCGAACGGAACUGUUUUGGAAGAUUUCUUCGGAAUGAAUUUGAUUUAGUUUAGUGGCGGACGGGUGAGUAACGCGUGAGUAACCUGCCUUCAAGAGGGGGAUAACAUUCUGAAAAGAAUGCUAAUACCGCAUGAUAUAUCGGAACCACAUGGUUUUGAUAUCAAAGAUUUUAUCGCUUGAAGAUGGACUCGCGUCCGAUUAGUUAGUUGGUGAGGUAACGGCUCACCAAGACCGCGAUCGGUAGCCGGACUGAGAGGUUGAACGGCCACAUUGGGACUGAGACACGGCCCAGACUCCUACGGGAGGCAGCAGUGGGGGAUAUUGCGCAAUGGGGGCAACCCUGACGCAGCAACGCCGCGUGAAGGAUGAAGGUUUUCGGAUUGUAAACUUCUUUUAUUAAGGACGAAAAUUGACGGUACUUAAUGAAUAAGCUCCGGCUAACUACGUGCCAGCCGCCGCGGUAAUUC